rnacentral:misc_RNA from 1 species
CGGGAAAGAAAGAGGGAGCACACGGUUCCAAUGGAAGAGAGGAGGAAGAGACAAAGAAUUCUUUCCGAGCUAUUUGUUUUUUUUCGUUCGUUUUCUGCUUCGUUCUUCUGGGUCAGGCUUCUUCCGAGUUUUUUUUAUGCCGUCGGACUGAUGGAAAGGGUGGCGAUAUGCAUAUUCCGGUUGUAUCACUCGGGAGGAUCAACGUAUAUUUGUAUAUAUUUUAUUCUAGUUAGGUUCUUCAUGGGAGUGUUAGAUCGACAGGUAAGGCAGGGGCGCGACCGCGCAUCGCUUUUCGGGAUUAAAUCUUUUAGAACAAGAAGGGAAAAAAAAUGAAAGAGUAUGGGAAUAGGAGUACGAGAGAAAAUAAGAGGGAUUUAAGCGUACCCCUCACGGUGGUAGACUGAAG